UCCCAAAGUGCUGGGAUUGCAGACAUGAAC
rnacentral:piRNA from 1 species